UUCGGAUUUUGAACUAAGGGAGUCUUUACUAGCUUGCUAUUUUCCAUACUGAAUUUCUUCAAAAUUUCUUUGGCAUACCUCCUUUGACAGAUAAAAAUACCUUCUUGUGAUUGAUUCACUUCCAUUCCAAGAAAGUAUUUCAUUUCCCCCAAAUCAGUCAUCUCAAAUGCCAACAUCAUUUCAGCUUUUACUUUGUCAAUUAAAGGUUCAUUGCUGCCGGUUAUGAGAAGAUCAUCAACAUACAGAGAGAUAAUGAUUGAUUCUUCCUCCACUUGCUUAAUGUAUAAGGUUUGCUCAUUGACACUUUUCACAAAACCAAGACAGCUCAAAUGGUCAUCAACCUUGCUGUACCAGGCUCUUGGAGCCUGCUUCAAGCCAUAUAAUGCCUUCUUCAAAAGAUACACCUUAUCUUCAUUUCCUUCCACCAAGAAGCCUUCAGGUUGCUCAAUGAAAAUUUCUUCAUUUAGGUAACCAUUUAGGAAGGCAGACUUCACAUCCAAUUGAUGAAUUUUCCAGCCACUUUGAGCAGCAAUUGCAAGCAAUAAUCUGAUGGUUUCAUACCUGGCCACAGGAGCAAAUGUGUCUGUGUAAUCAAUACCAUAUUGUUGAGCAUAACCCUUUACAACUAAUCUGGCUUUGAGCUUGUUGACAGAUCCAUCAAAGUUCACUUUGGUCUUGUACACCCAUUUAACACCAAUCACAUUUUUAUUUUUUGGUCUAUCAACUAGCACCCAAGUUUCAUUCUUUUCAAUCAUAUUAAGCUCCUCCUUCAUUGCAGCCAUCCAACCAUGUGAAUUCAUUGCCUCAUUGAAGUUUGAAGGCUCUAACACGGCUGAAUUACAUCUAGCGUAAACAUCAGCAAGAGACCUGGUCCUUAGCACUUCAUUUUCUGAGUCUGAGUCACUGUCUUGUUCAGGUUCAUCUUCAUUGAUGAUGUCUUCAUUUUCUUGAGUUACCAACAUUGGAACUUGAAGUUUAUCCAAGGUACUUGCUUCCCAAUUCCAUGAAGAAUUUUCAUCCACCUUGAUAUCCCUGCUGGACAUCAUCUUCUUGGUUUGAGGAUUAUAGACUCUAUACCCUUUAGCAUUGUCACAAUAACCAACUAAAACUCCAAGCUCUGCCUUUGGACUCAAUUUAUCCCUUUUUACAUCAGGUAUAUGAGUAUAACAUAUACUCCCAAACACCUUCAAAUGUGAGACAUUUGGCCUAACUCCAUACCAAGCUUCAAAAGGAGUUAGCUUGUUCAAGGCUUUUGUUGGUAAUCUGUUCAGAAGAUAGGUUGCUGUAUUCACAGCUUCAGCCCAAAACUCCUUUGGAAUCUUCUUCUCAAGCAUCAAACAUCUUGCCAUUUCCAUCACCGUCCUAUUCUUCCUUUCACAAACUCCAUUUUGUUGUGGUGAAUAUGGCAUUGUCAACUGAUGUUUGAUCCCCACAGCAUCACAAAACUUGUCAAACUGAUCAUUCUUGUAUUCAGUUCCAUUAUCUGUCCUGAUGGCUUUAAUCUUGCAGUUACUCUCAUUUUCCACCAGAUUUUUGAACUUUUGAAAUACACCAGCAACCUCAGACUUCAUUUUCAAGAAAUACACCCAACACAUCCUUGUUAAAUCAUCAAUAAAGAGUAUAAAAUAUCUACUGCCAUUCAGUGUUUGUGUUCUCAUUGGACCGCAAACAUCAGAGUGGAUUAAUUCCAGCUUUUUUGAGGCUCUUCUUGACUGAUUUUUAGGAAAUGGUAGUCUUGUUUGCUUUCCAAGUUGACAGAUAUCACAUACACAACUAUCAUCACAUAUGUCAGGCAAAUUUUCAACAAGUUCCAUCUUAUGCAUUUGUUUAAGUGAAGUGAAAUUUGCAUGACCAAACCGUUUGUGCCAAAGUGAAGACUUCACAUCAGUACAAGAGUAUGCAUGAGAGGUCAAAUUUUUCCAUUCUAAAGGGAAGCUUCUUUGCUUCAUUUCUACUGUCAUUAAUUCAUUUCCACUUGGAUCAAAUAUAGUGCAACCACUAUCCUUAAAUACCAAAGUGUAAUUUUUCUCAAUCAAUUGACCCACACUUACUAAAUUUUGAUCAAUAUCUGGCACAUAAAGUACAUCGGGAAUAUGUUUGAUACCUGUUGAAGUUCUCACAGCAAUCACACCAAUUCCUUCUACUUUCACAUAAUCACCAUUUCCUACCUUCACCUUUGAUUUGUAUGUAUUAUUUAACUCAACAAAGAUGCUUAAAUCUGAAGCCAUAUGAUGUGUGCAACCACUGUCCAGUAGCCAAGUUCCAAUUUCACUACUCAUCUUAUGAUUUGUAGCUGUAAAUAGAUGCUCUUCAUUCAGGUUUGGUUGCUGAUUUUCAGCAACCUGUGCUUGCUACUGUAAUGACUUCUCCUUCCGGCUUUUGCACACUUUUUGAACAUGUCCAAACUCCUUACAUGCUCUGCAUUGAAC
rnacentral:lncRNA from 1 species